CGGGACGGGUGAGUAAUGUCUGGGAAACUGCCCGAUGGAGGGGGAUAACUACUGGAAACGGUAGCUAAUACCGCAUAACAUCGCAAGACCAAAGAGGGGACCUUCGGGCCUCUUGCCAUCGGAUGUGCCCAGAUGGGAUUAGCUAGUAGGUGGGGUAACGGCUCACCUAGGCGACGAUCCCUAGCUGGUCUGAGAGGAUGACCAGCCACACUGGAACUGAGACACGGUCCAG
rnacentral:rRNA from 1 species